UCAAUCAAUCAUUGGUCUUAAACCUCUCAAAACCUGCUCAGAGUCAUCUUUGUUUGACAUUUUGUCUCUUCUAGGAUCCAUCUUUCCACGUGAGUCUGGCCUGGUGUGUUGGAGACCUGACGGAGGAGCUGAAGGAGAUCACCAAAGAGCUGCAGAGUCUGGUAGACGAGCGUGACGACGGACCGUUUCAUUUAAAUCUGGACUGUGCCGAGCUGCGCUGCAGGACGGGAAACAAAACCUUCCGCUUCUCUUUGGAAGCAUGACUCAUCGAAACAAAAACCGUUUAAUGUCUGUCUGCUGUGAUGAAGAAUCUGCAGAAACGACGCUGGAUCGUCCAAAAACUGUACAUAAAUAAAGCUUCUAUGUGUUUUGCA